GGGACAGAAUUUCUUCAAACUUGAGUCGGUCGGCACGGUGUUGGAUGUCAUCAGUGAAAUGCUCAGACUGAACUCAUCAAAGAAGGAAUCGGCUAGGCCUUACCUGGCUCCUGACAGUACCAAUCCAGGUGAGGAAGGGACUCUUGAUAUUCAUAAUAAUAGCAUGAGGGAUUAAAGUCGUCAGAGUAAGCAAGUAGUUCUGUUCAGAAAUAAUAUAUUGAAUUAGAAAGGCACUUUAUAGUUUUAAAGGACACUUCCAUAUCUGUUACUUGAGCACCUUAAACCUUUCAUUAGAUCUGCCGAAUGAUUGGUUUUGUUCCCUCUUGAACCUUUCUCAGGUAAAGAAGAACCAUGCCUCUUUAAGUCCAGAAAUUGUCUUUGCGAAUUAACAUACAUGGAUCUUGUUGGGCAGUUAUGGAUAAAUGGAUGGCUGAAUGAAUAAACAAAAGGACAGGACUCAAAAGGAGUAACAAGAUGCUUCCAGUUGUUUAAAAUAGACAAUAAAAUAUAUUUUGAGCAUAGACUACCUGGUUAUAUAAUCAGUUAAAAAUGAGGCACUUCAUGAAAUCUUCUGAAACCGUAGUGGCACACAUCCUCGCCAAGAAUUACACGGGAGGGCGUGACAGCGCGCCUGGGUCGUGGCCCGGCGCUUAGAGCGUUCAGUCACUGCUGUUAAGUGAGGAGGUGACCACAGGGGAGACUUCUAGUCUUACUCCUUUUUCCAUUUCUCAAAAAGCCGCUUCCCAAAGAAUACAAAAAAAAAAAAAAAGAAUCUUUUAAUUGCCGAAAUAUUAUACAACUAGACUAGUUUUACACGUUAUUGUUCUGGUGCUGUAUUAUCUUGUUCUUUAUUGUCUGAUGUUUAAAUCAGAAAAUAACCUGGUUAUGUAUUACUUAUAUCUAAGAGUCUAUCAUCUUUUAGGCAGAGAUGUUUGGGCCUGAAGAGGAAGAAUUCUUCCAGGGUGUUGGAAAGGCAUCUUCACGACAAGCUGAAGCCAAAUGGAGGCAUUUGAGAACAAAUGGUUUUGAAAAAUCCUGGACAUUCGGUGAGAUACUCAUAGAGAACAUCAGGAACUUUUCCAGUGAGUCGGCUCUUCACAUCAAAUGACCAAAAUACUGGAGCUUCAGCUUUAGCAUCAGUCUUUCCAACAACUAUUCAGGGGUAAUUUCCCUUAAGACUGCCUGGUGUGAUCUCCUUGAUUCAAGGGACUCUCGGGAGUCUUCUCCAGCCCCACGGUUUGAAGGCAUCGGUUCUUUGGCAUCCCGCCUUCUUUACUGUCCAGCUCUCACCACUGUAGGUGACCACUGGGAAGACCAGAGCCGUAACUGUAUGGAUCUUUGUCGGCAGAGUUUUUUGCUUUUCAACACACUGUCUAGGUUUGUCAUC